rnacentral:rRNA from 1 species
UACGUAGGGUGCGAGCGUUGUCCGGAAUUAUUGGGCGUAAAGAGCUCGUAGGCGGUGUGUCGCGUCGGCCGUGAAAACCUGUGGCUUAACCAUGGGCUUGCGGUCGAUACGGGCAUCACUGGAGUUCGGCAGGGGAGACUGGAAUUCCUGGUGUAGCGGUGAAAUGCGCAGAUAUCAGGAGGAACACCGGUGGCGAAGGCGGGUCUCCGGGCCGAUACUGACGCUGAGGAGCGAAAGCGUGGGGAGCGAACAGG